rnacentral:tRNA from 1 species
GGCGCCAUAGCCAAGCGGUAAGGCAGAAGCCUGCAAAGCUUUUAUGCCCCGGUUCAAAUCCGGGUGGCGCCUCCA